GUCUACAUUAGAUACCCCUGUAGUCCCAGCCGUAAACUAUGCUCGCUAGGUGUCAGGCAUGGCGCGACCGUGUCUGGUGCCGCAGGGAAGCCGUGAAGCGAGCCACCUGGGAAGUACGGCCGCAAGGCUGAAACUUAAAGGAAUUGGCGGGGAGCACCACAACGGGUGGAGCCUGCGGUUUAAUUGGACUCAACGCCGGGAAGCUCACCGGAUAAGACAGCGGAAUGAUUGCCGGGCUGAAGACUCUGCAUGACUAGCUG
rnacentral:rRNA from 1 species